rnacentral:rRNA from 1 species
GAAAUCUAUUUAGGUAGAGCGUCACGAUUAGACUCUGGGGGGUAGAGCACUGAAUGGGCUAGGGGUCCUCACCGGAUUACCAAACCUUAUCAAACUCCGAAUACCAAGAAGUACUAAUCGGCAGACACACGGCGGGUGCUAACGUCCGUCGUGGAGAGGGAAACAACCCUGACCACCAAUUAAGGUCCCCAAAUAAUGGCUAAGUGUGAAAGGAUGUGGGAUUGCUUUGACAAUGAGGAGGUUGGCUUAGAAGCAGCCAUCCUUUAAAGAAAGCGUAACAGCUCACUCAUCAAGCGAUCCUGCGCCGAAAAUGUAACGGGGCUAAAGCCAUACACCGAAGUCGCGGGCUCGCAAGAGCGGUAGCAGAGCGUUCCGCAAGUCAGUGAAGGGAUACCCGCGAGGGAUCCUGGAGAUACCGGAAGUGCGAAUGUUGACAUGAGUAACGAUAAAGGGGGUGAGAGACCCCCUCGCCGAAAGUCCAAGGGUUCCUGCUUAAAGCUAAUCUGAGCAGGGUGAGCCGGCCCCUAAGGCGAGGCCGAAAGGCGUAGUCGAUGGGAACCAGGUUAAUAUUCCUGGGCC